CAGCCGCCGCGGUAAUACAGAGGGUGCGAGCGUUAAUCGGAUUUACUGGGCGUAAAGCGUGCGUAGGCGGCUUUUUAAGUCGGAUGUGAAAGCCCCGGGCUCAACCUGGGAACUGCAUCCAAAACUGGCAAGCUAGAGUACGGUAGAGGGUGGUGGAAUUUCCUGUGUAGCGGUGAAAUGCGUAGAUAUAGGAAGGAACACCAGUGGCGAAGGCGACCACCUGGACUGAUACUGACACUGAGGUGCGAAAGCGUGGGGAGCAAACAGGAUUAGAUACCCCCGUAGUCCCUGUCUCUUAUAA
rnacentral:rRNA from 1 species